UGGCGCAGUGCGUGAAAUGAGCGACAAAGACCGUUCAUCUCCCACCCUCGUUGAAAACGGCCUCAAGUCACUACUUGACCAGCCCAGUAUUUUUCCGUUGAUCGGUAAGUUUUAUUGAAUUCCCCAACUGGGAUUCUUUGUCAAUCAGGAAUUUCAUAGGUCUAUUUUUCGAUUAUUGGGAAUUGAAAAAAAAGGAACGUUAUUUUAUAUUUAAAAAAAAAAAAUAAAACAAUAAAUCGCGUGAUUAGAAGAUGGAAACAAGACAACGCAUAUCGAGAUAUCCAAUGGAUAAAUCAUCAGGGGAUCCUAUGAUAACAUCAUCAUUAAAGGGU